CUUGCAUAAACGGUGCUCUGGUGCCACCGUUCAUCAUACUCCAUGUCAGUAGGACUCUUCAUACAGUCUUGAGAAGCAGGAAGUUUAGGAUUUGAAUACUGGGGAAAGCAGCUGGCCCAUCUUUCCCCUUUUUAUGUCUCUAUCAUUGACCGUCUGCCCAGAUGACCCUGCAACCCUCUAUUUAGAAGCUGCCUUCAAAACACAGAGAAACAUGGUGGAUCGUAAUCUCAUUGGCACCCUGCUCCGGAAGUUCCCCUAGCAUCAUCCAGCACAGCAGUGGUGUGAGGGUGAAGAGGACUUCACAGGAUUUGGAUACUACCCGAAACAGAAGUAGGUCUAACCCUCCAAGAUAUGGAAGGCUGACCAACAAUUUAUAAAUAUGUCCUUUUAUAUAAAAGACUUUGGAGAUCGAAGGAAGAAAAAACAGGAAAGAUUCUGGGAAUAUCUGUCACAUAGUUAUGGCAAAACCAGACUAGAGAAAGGGCCGGUCCUCCCUAUCCGAUCUUUUAGUAACAGGAAAAUAUAACUAUUAAUUUUUUAAAAACCACAUACAAGCUACAAAGUAGCAUCUCCUUUGUGGUAUGUGUUAGUAUGAUUUUGUUUCUAGUACUAAGAGUUGGUCAAAUGUAAUGGCUUAAUUCCAGCCAGCCAGAGGAAGAAAUUCCAGCCUCCUCCUCCUUCCGGCCCCAUCUUCUGCCUCAGAUCGAGCCCUCAGCGCUGGCUGCGGACUCCCUCUAGCCGCACUGUGACUGACGCCUUAAGCUCCGCGGUCUUGCCUCCGUGUGCUUCAGGGUCAGUGCCCUCAUGUGGUUCCCAGUGGGAGCAGCUCUGGGGAAGCAGAUGUGCACUCAGGUCCUGACAGCAAGCAGUUAGUUGGACCAGAGCGUCUAAGGGUUUUGAAGUACUGAGGUAGCAGAGGGAAGAAUAUGAACAGCUCUCACUCUGAGUCAGUGUUCAUUUAACCUUUGUGUCAGCCUGCCAACAGAACCUAGAGAAAGUUUACCGUAUUCAGGAAAUGAAACAACCAGUGUGUUAAGCCUGGAAGUGAUAAAAGAGCACCCCCUCCUCACUCUCCACUUGUGAUGCUCAUCAUGAAUUUCAAUAUGUCAGGAUGGAGGGACCCAGGGUCCCAGUGAACGAUUCAGCUGGUCCAAGGCUUGGGUUUUUCUUUCUUCAUCAUCCAUCCUCAUUCAGUGUUGUGAUUUAUUUUAUGUAAAAAGUUUACUUAAAAAAAUAUGUGCCUAUGUAAUAAAGUCUACACACUGGCUAACUCUAAGGAGGUGAGGUUUUGUUUUCAAUUGUUCUGCUGAUUAUCAUCUGUAACCCCCUUUUUGAGCUAUGAAAAAGACCUAUUAAUAAAAACUUUUAAACA
rnacentral:lncRNA from 1 species